AGUGAACGCUGGCGGUAGGCCUAACACAUGCAAGUCGAACGGCAGCUCAGAGGAGCUUGCUCCUUGGGUGGCGAGUGGCGGACGGGUGAGGAAUACAUCGGAAUCUACUCUGUCGUGGGGGAUAACGUAGGGAAACUUACGCUAAUACCGCAUACGACCUACGGGUGAAAGCAGGGGAUCUUCGGACCUUGCGCGAUUGAAUGAGCCGAUGUCGGAUUAGCUAGUUGGCGGGGUAAAGGCGCACCAAGGCGACGAUCCGUAGCUGGUCUGAGAGGAUGAUCAGCCACACUGGAACUGAGACACGGUCCAGACUCCUACGGGAGGCAGCAGUGGGGAAUAUUGGACAAUGGGCACAAGCCUGAUCCAGCCAUACCGCGUGGGUGAAGAAGGCCUUCGGGUUGUAAAGCCCUUUUGUUGGGAAAGAAAUCCAUCUGGUUAAUACCCGGGUGGGAUGACGGUACCCAAAGAAUAAGCACCGGCUAACUUCGUGCCAGCCGCCGCCGUAA
rnacentral:rRNA from 1 species